rnacentral:rRNA from 1 species
UACGCAGGGGGCUAGCGUUGCUCGGAAUCACUGGGCGUAAAGCGCACGUAGGCGGAUUGCUAAGUCAGGGGUGAAAUCCUGGAGCUCAACUCCAGAACUGCCUUUGAUACUGGCGACCUUGAGUCCGGGAGAGGUGAGUGGAACUGCGAGUGUAGAGGUGAAAUUCGUAGAUAUUCGCAAGAACACCAGUGGCGGAGGCGGCUCACUGGCUCGGUACUGACGCUGAGGUGCGAAAGCGUGGGGAGCAAACAGG